GGCUAGUUUAAUGACCAGGUAGUGGCUAGUUUAAUGACCAGGUAGUGGCUAGUUUAAUGACCAGGUAGUGGCUAGUUUAAUGACCAGGUAGUGGCUAGUUUAAUGACCAGGUAGUGGCUAGUUUAAUGACCAGGUGGUGGCUAGUUUAAUGACCAGGUAGUGGCUAGUAUAACAGCAGGUGAGUUUCCCUUAUGACCCUCUACGAUAGACAUUCAGUAGUUCAGCUAGGGAGGUUGCGUCACAAAUGGUACACUAUAUAGUGAACUACCUUUGACAAGGGCCCAUAGGUAGUGCACUAUGUAGGGAAUAGGGUGCAAUUUGGGACCCCAAUAGAUGUCCACAGGACACAGUGGAGAGCCAGUGCAGAACCAGUACCUGAUUAUAGAUAUUGAUUUCGGAUAUACAGGCUAUAAUGUGUGUAUAAACAGGAAUAAACUGAUUACUAAACACAAAUAAACUGCUUACUAAACAGGAAUAAACUGCUUACUAAACAUGAAUAAACUGCUUACUAAACAUGAAUAAACUGCUUACUAAACAUGAAUAAACUGCUUACUAAACAUGAAUAAACUGCUUACUAAACAUGAAUAAACUGCUUACUAAACAUGAAUAAACUGCUUACUAAACAUGAAUAAACUGCUUACUAAACAUGAAUAAACUGCUUACUAAACAUGAAUAAACUGCACACUAAACAGGAAUAAACUGCUUACUAAACAUGAAUAAACUGCUUACUAAACAGGAAUAAACUGCUUACUAAACAGGAAUAAACUACUUACUAAACAUGAAUAAACUGCUUACUAAACAUGAAUAAACUGCUUACUAAACAGGAAUAAACUGCUUACUAAACAGGAAUAAACUACUUACUAAACAUGAAUAAACUGCUUACUAAACAUGAAUAAACUGCUUACUAAACAUGAAUAAACUGCUUACUAAACAUGUAUUAACUUAGAAUUACAUGGUGGAGCAGUUGACUUUAAAGGACACAGAGAGUUACAUAUAAGUCAGAAGUUUACAUACACUUAGGUUGGAGUCAUUAAAACUCGUUAUUCAACCACUCCACAAAUUUCUUGUUAACAAACUAUCAUUUUGGCAAGUCAGUUAGGACAUCUACUUUGUGCUUGACACAAGUCAUUUUCCCAACAAUUGUUUACAGACAGAUUAUUUCACUUAUAAUUCACUGUAUCACAAUUCCAGUGGGUCAGAAGUUUACAUACAAUAAGUUGACUGUGCCUUUAAACAGCCUGGAAAUUCCAAAAAAUGUUCAUAGCUUUAGAAGCUUCUGAUAGGCUAAUUGACAUUAUUUAAGUCAAUUGGAGAUGUACCUGUGGAUGUAUUUCAAGGCCUACCUUCAAACUCAGUGCCUCUUUGCUUGACAUCAUGGGACAAUCUAAAGAAAUCAGCCAAGACCUC